rnacentral:rRNA from 1 species
UGGGGAAUAUUGCACAAUGGGGGAAACCCUGAUGCAGCGACGCCGCGUGAGCGAAGAAGGCCUUCGGGUCGUAAAGCUCUUUUAUGAGGGAAGAUAAUGACGGUACCUCAAGAAAAAGCCCCGGCUAACUACGUGCCAGCAGCCGCGGUAAUACGUAGGGGGCUAGCGUUGUCCGGAAUCACUGGGCGUAAAGGGUUCGCAGGCGGAAUAACAAGUCAGAUGUGAAAGGCAUGGGCUCAACCCAUGUAAGCAUUUGAAACUGUAAUUCUUGAGAAGUGGAGAGGUAAGUGGAAUUCCUAGUGUAGCGGUGAAAUGCGUAGAGAUUAGGAGGGAUACCUGUGGCGAAGGCGACUUACUGGACACAAAUCUGACGCUGAGGAACGAAAGCGUGGGUAGCAAACAGG